rnacentral:rRNA from 1 species
CCUACGGGAGGCAGCAGUGGGGAAUAUUGCACAAUGGGGGAAACCCUGAUGCAGCGACGCCGCGUGAGUGAAGAAGGCUUUCGGGGUGUAAAGCCCUUUUAGCAGGGAAGAAAAUGACGGUACCUGACCAAUAAGCACCGGCUAACUACGUGCCAGCAGCCGCGGUAAUACGUGGGGGGCAAGCGUUACGCGGAUUCACUGGGCGUAAAGGGGGCGUAGGCGGGUUAGCAAGUCAGGUGUGAAAGCCGAUGGCUGAACCAUAGAACUGCAGUUGAAACUGUUAUGCUUGAGUACGGGAGAGGUAGGUGGAAUUCGUGGGGUAGGGGUGAAAUGCGUAGAGAUCAGGAGGAACACUCAUUGCGAAGGCGGCUUACUGGAACCUAACUGACGCUGAGUCGCGAAAGCGUGGGGAGCAAACAGGAUUAGAUACCCUUGUAGUC